UUUUUUUCCUGUAGCAUGCCCCUUGUGCAGUUUGCCUUGUGGAUUAAUUUUUGAGCAUGUUCCUGAUUUAUUGCGGCAACUGGAUAUUUCUAACAGGCAAUAAUCUUGGGGGCUUGUCUGGAAAACUACACCACCCAGGGGGUCAUGGAGACAUAUCCCACUGCCUUUUUGUGGUGGCCUCAAAGUGGUGGGGGGAAACCUGCAACUGCUGAAGCCAAUAACAGACUCAAAACCAAGUUGAUGGGCAAUGCUGCAAAGAGCCCAAGUAAGCAGAGCAGUCAACCAGGUAAUUCUGUGAACGGACCAAAGUAGGAAAAUCUAUUCUCAAAAAAGAAGUACUUCCUUGGUGGUUGAGACAUCCCUGAGGUUGUCUGAGGGAAGGCCACACUGUCAUAUGAAGACCUGGCUUAUAUCCAUUUGCUUUGACUAAGUCUAUUUCUGAUCAUCAACACUGUUUCCUAACCAUACUCCUCCUCUGGGGUUGGCAUUUCAUCACUUCCCACCUGGCAACUUGAUUUUAAACCUGGAAAGAAGACAAGCCUCAACUGAGCUGGAAAGAACCUUACCAAGUGCCCCUGAUCACCAGGACAGCUAUCUGAACUGCUAAAAAGGGGAGAACUCAUUACCAUCAGCGUUCUCUACUUCAGAAAGUUACUAUGGCUAGGAAGAAUGGCAAUAUGGGGGGCUGGGGAUGUGGCUCAAGCGGUAGCGCACUCGCCUGGCAUGCGUGCGGCGUGGGUUCGAUCCUCAGCACCACAUACAAACAAAGAUGUUGUGUCCGCCAAAAACUAAGAAAAAAAAGAAAAGAAUGGCAAUAUGAAAGGUUAGAAGAACAAAAAUGACAAUGAGACUGAAAGGUAUUUUAAAAAAGUGGCGGGGGGGAAUGCUUGGGGGAAAUAGAAAGUCUGGUGGUCUGUUUUCAGAAUAUAAUACUUAGCCUUAAAUGUAAAAUUGGGGUAAGAUCCAAUCAUAGCCUUAACUUUAGUGCUUCCUACAGCCUCCCCAAUUUUAAAAUUAGCCAAUUGUGUAGAUUGUAACCCAGAGCUCCUCCUAUCAGAGCAAGCAGCAGUGCUGCAUUAGGGUUAAAAAACCAGUGGACUGUCGACCCAGGUGUGCUUUCUUUCCAGACUUUGUUCAAUAGCACACCCUUCUGCAGAAGUAGAGUUUGCCUGGCUGAAUAACUUUUGAGCAUAUGCAAGAUUUCUUGCAGCACCCCAAUAUUUCUAACAGACUAAGCCCCUAUAACAAAAGAUAGAUUAACAAAGUCCCUUAUCAGGUAGGUGAUUUGCAAAUAUUUUCUCCCAUUUCAUGGGUUGUCUUUUUACUGUUAUGGAGACAUCAUUUGUGAUACAAAACUUUUUAAUUUUGACACAACUCAGUUAAUUAUUUUUUCUUUUGUUGCUGUACUUUUGCUGUUAAGAAAUCACUGAUUAUCAAAGGCCAUAAAAUUAGUCCUAUGUUUUUUAAUGAGGUGUAUAGUUUCAGCUCUUUAAUUUAGGUCCAUAGUCCAUUUCAAGUUAGUGUUUGAAUAUGGCUUGAAGUAAAGAUCCAAUUUAUCCUCUUGCAUAGGUGGGUUGAUAUUCAUAUCACAUAUCAUAGCACCAUAUUUGGAAGUAUUCUUUUCUUAUUAAAUUGUCUUGGCAGUCUUGUUUAAAAUCAAUUGACCAUAAAUGAAUAAACUUAUUGUUUGUAAGCCUC